rnacentral:rRNA from 1 species
AAUGAACGCUGGCGGCAGGCCUAACACAUGCAAGUCGAACGAGUGGCGGACGGGUGAGUAAUGUCGGGGAAACUGCCCGAUGGAGGGGGCUAACUACUGGAAACGGUAGCAAAUAACGCAUACCAUCGGAUGUGCCCAGAUGGGAUGAGCGAGUAGGUGGGGUAACGGCUCACCUAGGCGAAGAUCCCUAGCUGGUCUGAGAGGAUGACCAGCCACACUGGAACUGAUACACGGUCCAGACUCCUACGGGAGGCAGCAGUGGGGAAUAGUGCACAAUGGGCGCAAGCCUGAUGCAGCCAUGCCGCGUGUAUGAAGAAGGCCUUCGGGUUGUAAAGUACUUUCAGCGAGGAGGCGUUACUCGCAGAAGAAGCACCGGCUAACUCCGUGCCAGCAGCCGCGGUAAUUC